UAGACCGCCUGGGGAGUACGGCCGCAAGGUUAAAACUCAAAUGAAUUGACGGGGGCCCGCACAAGCGGUGGAGCAUGUGGUUUAAUUCGAUGCAACGCGAAGAACCUUACCUGGUCUUGACAUCCACGGAAGAAUUCAGAGAUGGAUUUGUGCCUUCGGGAACCGUGAGACAGGUGCUGCAUGGCUGUCGUCAGCUCGUGUUGUGAAAUGUUGGGUUAAGUCCCGCAACGAGCGCAACCCUUAUCCUUUGUUGCCAGCGGUCCGGCCGGGAACUCAAAGGAGACUGCCAGU
rnacentral:rRNA from 1 species